GAUGGGCAGUGAAGAAGAGCGAGGUACCAAGGUCGGAGAGCCGAGAUGGGGACGGCGACCGACCUCAGGCACAUCAGCGCGGGAGUCAGAAGCGCACGGGAAGGCAGCGGAAGGACCUGGGGUCCAAGCUUCUGCCCUAUAUGAUGCUCCCCUUGUUCCUGCUCCUCUUUGUGGGGCUCCCACUUGUGGAAUCCAAUUUUACCAACG
rnacentral:lncRNA from 1 species